rnacentral:rRNA from 1 species
UACGUAGGGGGCUAGCGUUGUCCGGAAUUAUUGGGCGUAAAGAGCUCGUAGGCGGUGUGUCGCGUCGGCCGUGAAAACCUGCAGCUUAACUGUGGGCUUGCGGUCGAUACGGGCAUCACUGGAGUUCGGCAGGGGAGACUGGAAUUCCUGGUGUAGCGGUGAAAUGCGCAGAUAUCAGGAGGAACACCGGUGGCGAAGGCAGGUCUCUGGGCCGAUACUGACGCUGAGGAGCGAAAGCGUGGGGAGCGAACAGG